CAUACUUGAGAAGUAAGGGCGUAUUUCAUUACACAGACACUGCUGAAUUUUAGGUUACAUGCCAUUGGAUUGAUAUAUAAAAAACACUUGUAAAACACACACAUUAUCUUGUUGAUAGAAUAGUUAUUUGCAGUAUACUAACUGUUGGCAUACUCUAUUUCAGGACUAUCAAUUGUUUUUGUCACUGGCAGUCUUUGAAAUACAAUCUUGCUCUGUGGCCUUUACUGACAAGUUGACUUUUACUACAUAUGUGGCACUGACACUUCUUUAAUUAACGCACCAGUCAAUGUAAACCCCCCAACCAGGGAGGGGCAGGGAUUUUGACUUGGAGGGGUAGUAAAAAAGCGAAAUUGUCCCCGCCCCCAGGGACGUCAAUGUUCCCUGCAUGUCUCUUAACCCCCAGGAAAAUAGUUUUGUAUAAUCAUAGAUCAGCAAUAGAAAAUCAAAUUCAUUUAUGUUGUUGUAUUUAAACUUUUCUUGUCAAGAAAACUAAAACAGCAACACAGGAUAUAUAUGUUAACCACUGUCGAAGUCUCCCAUCAUCGGGGACAAAUUUAUAAUCAAAACUGACCACUUUCCCUGUUAAACCUUCCGCCCCUCCCCGGUUGGGGGCAAGGAUUUACAUUGACUGGUGCAUAACUAGAUGAUUGCAUGAAGUUGAUUUAUAAUUAGUAUGAAUAAACUCACACUUUCAUUAUAAUGGUUGAUCAAAUAUAUCAUAUGCAUUUGAUUGGUUGAUGGUCCCUUAAUGGUAAUGGUAGUCAAAUCUGAACCUAUAUAAUGUCAAUAUACUGGAAAAGUAUCAAAUUAAAUUUUAAUUGUCAAUGUUGUGGAAAGUAAAUAAAUCAAAC